rnacentral:rRNA from 1 species
UACGGAGGAUUCAAGCGUUAUCCGGAUUUAUUGGGUUUAAAGGGUGCGUGGGCGGUCGGAUAAGUUAGAGGUGAAAUCCCGGGGCUCAACUUCGGAAUUGCCUCUGAUACUGUUCGGCUAGAGAGUAGUUGCGGUAGGCGGAAUGUAUGGUGUAGCGGUGAAAUGCUUAGAGAUCAUACAGAACACCGAUUGCGAAGGCAGCUUACCAAGCUACUUCUGACGUUGAGGCACGAAAGCGUGGGGAGCAAACAGG